CAAACUUGACUGGAUCCAUUUUGUGGAGGAUCAGUAUCUAACUCAUCUGGCUGACAGAAGUACUACGGGAAGCUGCAAAUUGAGACCUACACCGGGACCGAUAGCCAAGCCGGCUUGAGACCAGCAGUCCAGGGCUGAAUUUAGGAGGGGGAGAAUUCCCAAAGAACUCAAGAGGGAUAAGAGCUCACCAUGGUGGGGAGGUGUGUCAGCAAAUGGCAUGGUGGUAGAAGCAGAAAGAUGAGAGCUCACAUCUCCAAUCACAAGCAUGAAGCGGAGAGAGAAAACUAAAGGUGAGAUGGGCUCAAAUUCUCAAAGCCCCUUCCCCUCCAGUGACUUAUAUAUCCCAGCAAAGCCACAUCUCUUAGGCCUUC